rnacentral:rRNA from 1 species
GUACACGCUGUGACUAGCAUAUCAAUAAGCGGAGGAAAAGGUACCUACGCUUAGGAUGUUGACACACGCGCGGUGCUCGAGUCUAUACAUGACUCUGUGCAUAUCAAUAAGCGGAGGAAAAGAAACUAACAAGGAUUCCCCUAGUAACGGCGAGUGAAGCGGGAAGAGCUCAAAUUUGAAAUCUUAAAGGGUUUCCCUUUACGAAUUGUAGUUUAAAGAAGUGUUUUCUGUUAGAGUUUCGGUAAAAGUUCUUUGGAAUAGGACAUCAUAGAGGGUGAGAAUCCCGUAUUUGACCGUUAUUUCUAGCUUUGUGAUACACUUUCAAAGAGUCGGAUUGUUUGGGAAUGCAGUCCAAAAUGGGUGGUAAAUUUCAUCUAAAGCUAAAUAUUGGCGAGGAGACCGAUAGCGAACAAGUACCGUGAGGGAAAGAUGAAAAGAACUUUGAAAAGAGAGUUAAACAGUACGUGAAAUUGUCAAAAGGGAAGCGUUUGACACCAGUGUUGUUUAAUUGAAAAUCAAUUAACUAAUUUUUGAUUUUAAGUAGUCAUUGACUUUAUCAGCUUGCUAUUUAUUUUUCGAAAAUUAUUUAAUGCACUUUUCAGUUAACAAGUCAACAUCAAUUUCUUUUGUUGUAAAAAGGUAAGAGGAAGGUGGCUUAUGUUUCGGCAUAAGUGUUUAUAGCCUUUUACCUCUGCAAUCGGAGAGAUUGAGGUCUGCAGCGUAGAUCCUUCGGGGGUUAGAUACAUUUGUGCUAAGUUAUAGUAUUUUAUAGACAACUUGUUGACUAUAAUUUAUCUUGUAGCUUACUCGCUUAUGCUAUUUUACCUACGCUUAGGAUGUUGAGCGCAUGUCUCUCUCU